rnacentral:rRNA from 1 species
GAUGAACGCUGGCGGCGUGCCUAAUACAUGCAAGUCGAGCGAACAGAUGAGGAGCUUGCUCCUCUGACGUUAGCGGCGGACGGGUGAGUAACACGUGGAUAACCUACCUAUAAGACUGGGAUAACUUCGGGAAACCGGAGCUAAUACCGGAUAAUAUAUUGAACCGCAUGGUUCAAUAGUGAAAGACGGUUUUGCUGUCACUUAUAGAUGGAUCCGCGCCGCAUUAGCUAGUUGGUAAGGUAACGGCUUACCAAGGCAACGAUGCGUAGCCGACCUGAGAGGGUGAUCGGCCACACUGGAACUGAGACACGGUCCAGACUCCUACGGGAGGCAGCAGUAGGGAAUCUUCCGCAAUGGGCGAAAGCCUGACGGAGCAACGCCGCGUGAGUGAUGGAGGUCUUCGGAUCGUAAAACUCUGUUAUUGGGGAAGAACAAAUGUGUAAGUAACUAUGCACGUCUUGACGGUACCUAAUCAGAAAGCCACGGCUAACUACGUG